rnacentral:misc_RNA from 1 species
AUUCAGAGAUGAACUAGCCAUUAAUCAACAAAAUACAAGCCAGUCAAGCUCCAUAAUUAAGGCAAUUUUCAAGUGAAACUAGGCAUGAAAUGUUUUCCUCUGCCUAUACAUACUUUGGCUAUUUUACUAUACUCACAGAAUAUUCACGUAUAGCAAGUCAUUUGCUAAGUUAGAAUCUCGACACACUGGAAGAGGCGGCACCAACUGAUAUACAUACCAUCUGCAUUCAUAGAUCUCUCCUACGUAAUACGAUUUUCAGGAUGCAAUUCGGACUGCUAAUACCAGUCCAACAGAAACCAUCACCUUCAAUUGGCAUGGAGCCUUUUUUCCAUUUCCAAAAACAAAUAUGUACGUGAUAGAGCUUCAAAAGUCAUUGCAUACUGCAACAUGAGCUUGAAUUCAUCUUCUCCUGCCAUAAUAAAGGCCACCACCUGAAUGAUGCAGAUAGCGAUGACGCGAGCCACUACCCCUACCAGGUGCAUCCCAUGUGCUGCCCCUAUGAGCAACCCUACUCCCACUGCUUUGAGUCCAGCUUGGUGGCUGGUUCCCUAACCCAUUUAGCUCUUCCUCCUCUCUAUCAUUGUACUCCAGAACCAGCCUCUUGAUGUCUUGCUUUUCUUCAAGUUCAGCUGCUUCUUUCUGUUUCGUG